GAACGCUGGCGGCGUGGCUAAGGCAUGCAAGUCGAACGGACAUAGUUUUUGGGUAACCGAGUUCUAUGUUAGUGGCGAACGGGUGAGUAAUGAAUGGGUAACGUACCCCGGACUCAGGGAUAGCGGCGGAACUUCGGUUCCUUUGCGAAAGUGCCGGUAAUACCUGAUGACCCCGCGUGAUCGCAUGGUCGUGCGGGCAAAGCUCCGGCGGUCCGGGAGCGGCCCAUUUCCUAUCAGCUUGUUGGUGGGGUAACGGCCCACCAAGGCUGCGACGGGUAUCGGGUGUGAGAGCAUGACCCGACACAUCGGGACUGAGACACGGCCCGGACACCUACGGGUGGCUGCAGCAACGAAUAUUCCGCAAUGGGCGAAAGCCUGACGGAGCGACGCCGCGUGCAGGAUGAAGUCUUUCGGGAUGUAAACUGCUGUCAGGGGUCAGAAAUUACUGAUCAGCCCCAAAGGAAGCCUCGGCUAAUUCCGUGCCAGCAGCCGCGGUAAUACGGAAGAGGCGAGCGUUGUUCGGAAUCACUGGGCUUAAAGCGCGUGUAGGCGGAGUGUAGGGUGCUUUGUGAAAGCCCUCGGCUCAACCGAGGAACUGCUGGGCAAACCGACACUCUUGAGGCAGGCAGAGGUAACCGGAACCUUUGGUGGAGCGGUGAAAUGCGUAGAGAUCAAAGGGAACGCCGGUGGCGAAAGCGGGUUACUGGGCUUGAACUGACGCUGAGACGCGAAAGCGUGGGUAGCAAACAGGAUUAGAUACCCUGGUAG
rnacentral:rRNA from 1 species